UACGUAGGGUGCAAGCGUUGUCCGGAAUUAUUGGGCGUAAAGGGCUCGUAGGCGGUCCAUCGCGUCGGGAGUGAAAACCCGGAGCUCAACUCCGGGCCUGCAGUCGAUACGGGCAAACUGGAGUGUUGCAGGGGAGACUGGAAUUCCUGGUGUAGCGGUGAAAUGCGCAGAUAUCAGGAGGAACACCGGUGGCGAAGGCGGGUCUCUGGGCAACAACUGACGCUGAGGAGCGAAAGCGUGGGGGAGCGAACAGG
rnacentral:rRNA from 1 species